GGGAUUGAGACACGGCCCUGCUGCAGUUCAGUGUGUGGCCCACAGGAGGCGCAAGGACCGGCGUUCACUGCGCAGCUCAGCUGAGCUCGAGACUGAAGCGCGUUCAUCAUCAUCAUCAUCAUCAUCAUGUCCACGGCGGAUCACACAGUCAUGCGCGGCAUCUGGGGCAGGAACGCGCCCGCGGGGAACGCGAUGGAGAAGCCGAAGAACAAGGGCUUCAGUCUGAUCAAGAUGAUGUCUCUGAAUUACAGAAAGGAGAAGAAUCCACAACAACAGCAGCAGCAGCAUCACAACAACAUGCCCUUCAUGAUCCACAGCCACAUCGGCAAAGAGAUCAAACACAUAUGCAGCAACUGCAGCCGCGUCAGCCACGCGCAGGACGCAGAGGAGGUGGAGAGGCUGGCCUCCGUGGUGUCCGGAUCACACUGCAGGAGCAGGUUCGGCUCUCUGGGACGCCUCUUAAAACCCUGGAAGUGGAACAAGAAGAAGAGCCAGGACUUCACACAGAUGUCAACCGCUCUGGAGAGGAAGAUGUCGGUGCGUCAGAGCCGAGAGGAGCUGAUCAAACGAGGAGUGCUGAAGGAGAUCUUUGAGAAAGACUCCAGGAGCACAGCUGUGACACCGGCCGACCAGAUGAAGAACACACUGCCCUCAGACUGUGAGAGGACGGCCGAGGACCGACAGAGGACCGGUGAGUACACCGCUGACUUCCGUGUGUCUCUGGACGGAGGACUCUGUGCUCAGGACAACACACUCCAGUCACUCACACUUCCUCACAAGAAAACCGUCACCUUCCCCAGUGACCUUCAGGAGCCACCGGCCAAACCUCCGCUCAUCCACAAACAGCCUCCCGCCCUGCCGCCCAAACCCUUCUCCAGACGGACCAAUCACAGCACAGCUGAGACACAGACCUGCUCCAGACGGACCAAUCACAGCACAGCUGAGACACAGACCUGCUCCAGACGGACCAAUCACAGCACAGACCCGUGUCUGCAGGGGAAGCCGUGUCCUCAGAAGCUGGUUCUGUACUCGUCUUCAUGGGGUCAGUGCUGUGGUCCCCUGCAGCUGCAGUACAGCGCCGCACACCCGUCCAGCCGGAUCAUCCUGGAGCUGCAGAAGACGCUGGCGCUCACCUUACACAGACUCGACAGCUCUGCGGUUCACACCGGUCAGUACAGCGCUCCUCUCCGGGCCGUGGACAUCGACUGUGACGCUGAUAAAGAGAACAUCCCCAACGAGUCUGACUAUCAGGACCUGCCCUGCGUGUAUAAAGAUGAAGAGCAGGAGGAGGACGAGGAGGAUGAAGAUGAUUCGCUCUUUACAAACGCUCUGGUGCUGAAGAUCUUGAGGAAGGACUCUCUGGCGGUGAAGCUGAGUAACCGGCCGUCUCCGAGAGAACUACAGGAGAAGAACAUCUUACCUGUUCAGACGGACGAGGAGCGACUGCAGUCCAGACAGCUGAUCGGCAAAAAACUCACAGGGAGACUGAGUCAGAGACCCACGGCUGAAGAGCUGGAGCAGAGGAACAUCCUCAAACCUCAUAAUGAGGAGGAGCAGAUGGAGGAGAAGAGAGAGAUCAGACGCCGGCUCUCACACAAGCUCAGUCAGAGGCCCACGGUGGAGGAUCUGCGUCGAGCUCGGAUCCUGACCCGCUUCUGUGAUUACGUGGAGGUGUCGGACGCUCAGGACUACGACAGACGCGCAGACAAACCCUGGACGAGACUCACUGCGGCGGAUAAGGCUGCCAUCAGGAAAGAGCUGAAUGAUUUCAAGAGUCAUGAGAUGGAGGUGCACGAGUCCAGCCGUCAUCUGACCAGGUUCCACCGGCCCUAGAGAACAAUCCUCAGAUCAGCGGGUUCUCCAGCACCAGCGCGUCCCACAAUCCCUCGGGUUCUCCUUCAGCAGACUGGAUCCUUCACUCCUUCACUCCUGGAUCAAGUCUUUUAUUCUUCAGGGACUGUGUUAUUCUCAUCCAAGGCUCUGUGUUGGGGUGAAUUAUGAUGGUUUUACGUUCUUGUUUUGGAUUCUUCUGAUGUCUGUCAGCAAAUUUCCUGAAAAUCUUUGUUUUUUAUUCAUGUUUUUCCUUUUCUUUUAUGUUAUUUUUGUUUUAUACGAUUUAUUUUAAAGUUAAAUAGAUUUUUACCAUCCUCUGGCAGUGUUUAUUGGAAUCACAGAUGUCUUUUCCCGAGCACCCUUCAUCAUGAGUUCGUCUUUAAUAAAGGAGACGAGUGGUUGAUUAUAGCGGACCGGUUGAGACAGAUGUGUGAUCAUCUGUGUUCUUCAGGAGGUUUAGCUCCUGCAGCUCAGUGUGGCACAAGCUUUUGUUUUACUCAUCCUUUGAGUUUCAGAUGUAUUGAUCUCUCCUGUGAGAGACUUUCUGUGGGAAUUAGGAUCAACUGAAACAGUCCUGAAGGAUGUGAAACCCAUCAGAAUGAGUUUAAAGAGUCACUCACAGCUCAGGUAGUUCCUCCAGGACAAGGUUAGGAUCGAACGACAUCAGCGGAGGGAAGAAUCCAGAACAUCUCGCUUCAUCUUGAGCAGGACUGCUUCUCGACUGAGACGUGGAUUCAGGAAGUCGUUUGACACAAGAAGAAUCCAGCAUCAGCGCCACUGAACUCCACUCGUGUGGAAAACUCAACCUUUCAACAAACUAAACCAUCUUUUUAACAAUAGUGUGAUUUGGAGAACUUUUACACACUGCAUGAGUUAUGAGUGUGUGACGAACCGUCCUGAAGCAUCGAGUGUGUACGAGGAACGCUGUGAUUCAGCAAUAAAACACACCUGAUCUCUGUGUGUGUGUGUGUGUGUGUGAGAGAGAGAGAUGUGAAACUCCAUCAAGAAUAUUAAAGCUCUGAAUGCAAGCUUGCAGUGUCUAGGUGUUUGUCAUUCAGAGACGCAUGAACAUGAAACUGUCACACCGUUGGAAAAGUAAGGGUUUUAAUUUGAUGUUUUUAUUUUUAAAUGUAUAUUUAUAGUACAUUAACACACAAUAUUUUUUUGGUUGUUAAAUGCUCACAUUUCUAGUGUUUAUAUAUAUUCAUAAUAUAGUCAAAUAGAUUUAUAUUUAUUAUAUAUAGUGUAAAUAUAGAUUUACACAUUUAUCCCUUUUAUAACAUAUGCAUUAAUAGUCCACAUCUACACCUCUCAAAAAGAUACUGCAUGAUAGAUAGAGAGAUAGAUAGAUAGAUGGAUAGAGAGAUAUAAAUGUGUAUUUUUAAAUAUUUUAUUAAUAUUUAUUGGUGUAUUUUGUUAAAUGCCUUGAUUUGUGUUUGUUCUGCUUGUUUGGGUGAAGAGCUCGCUCUGUUUAACUCAGAGCUGUGAGGAAUCAGAUCAGGUCGAUCUCACACUCGGAGAUGAAGGUGACGGUUCUGAGCUCGGUGACCAGCUCUGCUUGCACAGGGGUCUGGAUCUGACGAGAGGUGAGGUAUCUGACCUCCUCGGCCUGGUCUUCAGGGACGCGCCGGGCCUGGGCUGGUUUUAGGCAGCUCUUCUUGGGUGUGGGACGCCCCAGGACUCUCUCCUUCAGCCAGAUCCCACAGCUCGUGAUGGGAGAGUUCCCAGGCUUGAUCAGAGCCGUUUCCCUCAGCAGAUCUGCUUCUCUUAAGGUCUGCUGGAGGAUCUCCUGGAGGUUUCUCUCCACUGUAGGGGUGUAAUGUCUCUGGAUCAUGGGUGUGUCGGGCCACGCCACCCUCCCGGGCUCCGGACCCCUGACGGGAUCCACCAGGAACGUCCCCGUCUCAGCCAGAUGCUCCCACUUGGUCUGGGUGAGCUUCAGGAGGGUCUUCAGGAUGCCGCUGGAGGCGGUGGUGGGCAUGUGUCUCAGACGGGACAGCAUCCCUGUGUCAGGAGCUCCAGGUGUGCUCCACCUGCUCCUCACCUCAUCUCUCCAGGGCGAGGGGAGCGGCCUCGACUGGCUCCGGAGGCUGCAGUAAGGCUCUUCUUUAUAGUCAAAGUUAGUUUUGGUGAGCUUCAUGCAGCUCUUGGGCCGUCCAGGGGGUGGUUUGGCUUCUGUGGGUAAUCUGUGGCACAGGUCUGCCCACUUCACCUGCUUAGGUCCCGGCUUCUCUCUCGGAGGAUUUCGUACCAGGUGAACAAGCUCCUGUCUCCAGGACAGAAUGGACUCAGAGGUGCUCUGAGUGCUGCGCUCCUCCAUCACUGUCUCUGAAUGGCUGUUUAUGGGGAUAUCAGAAUCAGAAUGAUUAAAGACUCGCCGCGACGGCCUUUUAUAGGCUGCGCUAGUGACGUCAUCGGGCUUGCGGGGGUGGCCCUGUGACGUCACAACGACCGCGUUCUAAAUCAGAAUGCAAGUGCACUGAAGUGAACACACCAGCAGCAGAAGCUCUGCUUCACAUCGAGGGGUAGACAUGAAGUACAUUUUCCACAUAAUAUUUCAGUUCUACAACAUAAAAAUUCAAUUUUUCCCAUUAAUUUUUCGUCUUCGUAAAAUCGCACUUAUUUUGCACACAGUAGGCUAUAGAGUUUUAUAAGCAGUGGAUCAUCAUGCAUAGGCUACAUCUAUCUGGCACCAAAUAGUUUGAAACCUUGUUUUAACUAUGAUAUGCUUUCUUGAAACAGAGGAGGAAGACUAAUCGAGCGCACUCAGUUCAGUCAGGCCACGGAGGCAAGGCUGUGAACAGCUGAUGCGGUCAUCUGUCAAAUCGCUCCAAUCACCACCUCUCUCCUAUUAGACACGGGACAUAUAUAUACGUGGCACUACUGCUCGAUCACUAAGACUUCCAAAAAUCUUAGCUGGCAUGGACCUCUUUGCGGAGAGACACCCAUCUUUAUAAUCAGGCUCCAGGAUAGACGUACCACUGCCACAUCUACAUGAUUAUCACCGUUUGCUUUAAAGACUUUAUUAAAAGUCUUAAUUAUUAUGUAUUUCUAAAUUCAUGGUUCCGGGGGGUUAAUGUUAAAGCUCUUGUAUGUUCAAUUAUUCUGGGAGCAAGAACCCCCAUAAGGAACCAUACCGCCAAAGAUAAACUGUGUUCAAUAAACUCAAGUAAACUUGCCAAA